rnacentral:rRNA from 1 species
GACGAACGCUGGCGGCGUGCUUAACACAUGCAAGUCGAGCGGUAAGGCCCUUUCGGAGGUACACGAGCGGCGAACGGGUGAGUAACACGUGGGUGACCUGCCCUCAGCUCUGGGAUAAGCCUGGGAAACCGGGUCUAAUACCGGAUAUGACUCCAUGACGCAUGUUGUGGGGUGGAAAGCCUUGUGCGGCUGAGGAUGGGCCCGCGGCCUAUCAGCUUGUUGGUGGGGUGAUGGCCUACCAAGGCGACGACGGGUAGCCGGCCUGAGAGGGCGACCGGCCACACUGGGACUGAGACACGGCCCAGACUCCUACGGGAGGCAGCAGUGGGGAAUCUUGCGCAAUGGGCGAAAGCCUGACGCAGCGACGCCGCGUGAGGGAUGACGGCCU